rnacentral:rRNA from 1 species
UACGUAGGUGGCAAGCGUUAUCCGGAAUGAUUGGGCGUAAAGGGUGCGUAGGCGGCACGAUCAGUCUGAAGUAAAAGGCGAUGGCUCAACCAUCGUAAGCUUUGGAAACUGUCGAGCUAGCGUGCAGGAGAGGUCAGUGGAAUUCCAUGUGUAGCGGUAAAAUGCGUAGAUAUAUGGAGGAACACCAGUGGCGAAGGCGGCUGACUGGCCUGUAACGGACGCUGAGGCACGAAAGCGUGGGGAGCAAA